rnacentral:rRNA from 1 species
GGGCCCGCACAAGCGGUGGAGUAUGUGGUUUAAUUCGAUGCAACGCGAAGAACCUUACCAGGGUUUGACAUCCUGCGAAUCUCUUGGAAACUUGAGAGUGCCUUCGGGAGCGCAGUGACAGGUGGUGCAUGGCUGUCGUCAGCUCGUGUCGUGAGAUGUUGGGUUAAGUCCCGCAACGAGCGCAACCCACGUCUUUAGUUGCCAGCAUUUAGUUGGGCACUCUAGCGAAACUGCCGGUGCAAACCGAGAGGAAGGUGGGGACGACGUCAAGUCAUCAUGGCCCUUACGAGUAGGGCUACACACGUGCUACAAUGGCGCAUACAGAGGGCAGCCAACUUGCGAGAGUGAG